rnacentral:misc_RNA from 1 species
UGAGGCUGAACCUGAUUUAUAAGUUAUUCCUGUAGAUGAAAGACCAAAGUACCUAAAAAUAACAGCAUGCAACAGUUUAGCCCAAUAUGCUCCAGUCAAACACUUAUCAGUUCUUGAAGAAUAAACCUACUUCUCACGGUUUGCAGCAGCUUUAUUUCUGGUUUCUUGUAUUUUUUCCUUAUCAUUCAAGAGAGCCACAAUAUUUUCUGCCUUCUUCCUCACAUUAAGUCCCAAAUCCUUUCCACUUGGCUCAACGUAUUCAAAACUUGUAAGUGACUUUGCCAACAAAAAAUAAAUAGGGGAAAAUGGAAUGUCAGAGAAAAUUCACAUUCACUCUGAAUGCUGUGAAAAUGAGCAUAGGCAACCGUAGCUGAGUAUAAGACAGUAUUACUCACUGAUAUCUGGAAUGUAUGUUCUAUUAUGUCAUCAACAGCACGCUCAGAACCAUGAGCCACCAAAUACUCUAUAACAGAUAACGCCUGAGAGCAAAGUUUCACAUAUUUUGAAUAGAGGCAUGAAAAAUUGCAACAACAACAAGGCAACACAGUUUGGAAGUACAUAUGAAAUGAAACAUCUACUUGUCAGAUCAUAACUUCUGAACAAGAAAAUCUAAAAAUACGAAAAGAUUUACCUUGUAGACAAGACGCCAGUCCUUGCCUGUUUCACCUAAUCUUGUCCACAGAACAUUCAUAACCAUCUGACAUUCGGUGCUAAAAGAAAUUGCAACAAAAUAGACAUCCACAAAAAAUAUAAAGCUAUCUUUCUUUCACAAAAACAUUAGCAUAAAAAAGAUUCCAGAUAUGAAACAAAAAUGGGUGGGGGGAACGCAAGUCAAAGCUUACAAUUUCUUAGUGGCCUGUGCAAUUUCUGCCAAUGCAGUGCCAUGAGGACCCCAAGGCGCAUCAUCAGUUGCAUCCAACACCUUCUGUUCGAUCUCGGGAACCUUCAGGACCUUGAGAUUAACCUCUCUCUUUAUUUCGCGGACUGUCUGGUCGAAUACCUUCAUGAAAUCCAUGAUUGGAUCUGCGGAAUCAAAAUUUGAAAACGAAAUGAAAUAUUCGAUCGAAAUGAGCGGUAAUAUUAUGCAGAUCUGCAAGAUUAAGGAUUGAUUAAUGUAGGGUUUGUUGAAGAAGGAAGGGUAGUGGAGGUAGGAGAAGAGGAACCUUCGAGUGGAGAUGUUAAAAAGCUAAGAAUUACAGAUCUUUGGGAGGUGUUCGUUGCAGGAUGGAAAGGAAAGAUACGUAAUCAUGAU